CUGACAGAGACACUGUUUUCACUAGCCUAUUUUGGCAAGAGUUCUUUAAGUUACAAGGAGUUGCAUUGCAUAUGUCUACAGCAUAUCAUCCUCAAACAGACGGCCAAUCUGAGGUUGUAAACAGGUGCCUCGAGACUUAUCUUCGAUGUAUGGCGGGUCAUCUCCCUCAUACUUGGUACCAGUGGCUUUCUCUAGCUGAGUUCUGGUAUAAUUCUUCUCACCAUUCCACUAUUCAACAGUCACCAUUUCAAGCACUUUAUGGUGUACUUCCACCGAUUCACCUUCCUUAUUUACCUGGUGAGUCAAAUGUGGAGGCUGUGGAUAUAUUCAUGAGGGAUAGAGAGUCUACAAUUGCCUUGCUUAAGUAUCAUUUGGAUAGGGCUGCUACUCGAAUGAAGCACUAUGCUGAUAGGCAUCCUACAGAGAGAGUACCAAAUUGGUGACAUGGUGUAUCUUAAACUCAAGCCUUUUCUGCAAUUGUCCAUGUCUAGAUCUCAUUCCAAGCUUCAUGCUAGAUAUUAUGGCCCUUACAAAAUAAUUGACCGCAUUGGUCCAGUAGCCUAUAAACUGCAAUUGCCACCUGAUGCUCGAAUUCAUGAUGUUUUCCAUGUUUCUCUACUGAGACCAUCUUAUGCAGAUGUGGUGGUUUCCUCUAAUUUACCUCCUGAUUCCUCUUUAGCUAGUCCUUACCCACAAGCCAUCUUGGAUAGAAGGACAGUUAAAAGAGUGAAUGUAGCUGCCACUCAGUGGUUGAUUCACUGGGCCAAUUCUUCACCAGCAGAUGGCACUUGGGAAUAUGCAGAUGGUGUCCAACUUCGUUUUCCUGAUUUCUGUCCUUGAGGACAAGGACAUUUUGAAGGGAAGGGUAUUGAUAUGAUGUGGAAUGUCGAGAAUGAAUAAAGGAAACGGGGCGUUGCAGGAUCGCGUGUGAAGAAGAGCAUGGGAUGAAUUAGCAGUUACAAGGUGUCAUUGGAGCUGUUAUGAAGUUGUUACGCAAGCGUGUAUCUAGGAAGAAUUAGUUGUUUGUUAAGCCACUUGUACAAGGGUGGUUAUUGUACUAUAAUAGCUGCAAUUCUUCUGUUGUAAAUCUUCUUGAUUCUGAUGUGAAUGAAUACGAUCCCUUUCUGAUUCUUCUUCCAUGGCUUCUUUCCUUUCCUUCUGAAUUUCUCUCUUGCAUUCUUCUUGGACUUCUCUAAUUCUUCUCUAGAUCAUAUUAAUUGGUAUCAAAGCAUCGAAUCCCAGUUAUGGCGGAAGGAACUUGAUCACAGGAUUUGAGGAAGGAAAUAUCUGCUUUAGUGUUGGAAUCUGUGCACCGUCAGGAGGCUCUAUUGCAAGAUGUGGUUAAUGAGCUGAAAUCUUUAAUUGCUGGAUUGAUUAUGUAGCAUGCCGAAGUGAUGAGUAAAAGGAACAGAGCAAGUACUUCGCAGGAGAAAGAUUCUGGCCCUAAUGUGAAUUUUAAUGCGAAUCCUUAGGGAAG
rnacentral:misc_RNA from 1 species